GAUGAAGAACGUAGCGAAACGCGAUAGUUAAUGUGAAUUGCAGAAUUCAGUGAAUCAUCGAGUCUUUGAACGCACAUUGCGCCUUUUGGUAUUCCGAGAGGCACGCCUGUCUGAGCGUCAGUAAAACCCUUCGGUUUGACGAUUUAUUGUCUCGCCGGCGUUGGCGGUUUUUGGGGGUUCGUCCCCCGAUUCCGUUUAAACACUGACACGCGGAGAUUAAGGUGUUAAAGGAUUAACCCCUCAUCGAUUAGUAGAAAUAUUUAUCUUUGAAGAUUAUGACUUUAAAACCCCACCCGCUAUACAAAAAUAGGGAGCUUCUUUUUUGAGCACCCGACCUUGAAUUUUGACCUCAGAUCAGACGAGGAUACCCGCUGAACUUAAGCAUAUCAAUAAGCGGGGGA
rnacentral:misc_RNA from 1 species